rnacentral:lncRNA from 10 species
CAGUCCCGGUGCUGCAGGAGGGAGGGGCGGGCGUGGGGAUGGCUGGGCCUUGGGCAUCGCCAGAGACAUCAUAGCCUUCCGGGACAGCCCAGGGGCUUGGCAGAGUGUCUUGUUGUAAAGCUUGUGGGGUCUGCAGGGCCUACUCUGGCUAUACCCACCCACAAGGCCAUGCAGCCAGAGGGUGCGGGAGACAAACAGGAGCCGAGCCAAGUGGCCAGAAGGAAGGCCAGGAGCAAGCCCCAGCAGAAGCCAAGCCCAGCAGACAAGAUGCCUCUCCCCUCCCAUCUCUGCCCACAGAACUCCUCAUACUCUUCCCAGCUCAAGUUUCACAAUCUCCACGAAGUUUGCCAAGGUCACCUCUUCCUGCCGCAUCCUCCUCCUCCUCUAUCAUAGCCAACGCUUAUCUGACAUUGCCAAGUGCAGGGCUAGAAGCUUCAUAUGUGUUAUCUAAUUUAAUGCUCCCAAUACCAGUAUGAGAAUGGUGUCAUCAUCCUUUUGUACACAGAAUCCACUGCAGCUCAGAACAGGUAAGUGGCUUCCCCAAGGUCAUCCAGCCGGUGAGAUAUAGAGGCCAUGUUCAAAUACAGGUCUCUGAGGGCAAAGCCCGUUCUUAAGCAUUAGGAGCCCUUGCUACCCAUGAGACAGUGGACAUGGCCCCCAACAUUGUCCCUUGGUGCUCUCUCUUGAUCUUUUUCUUUUAAGGUUUGUUUUAUAUACUUGUCUCCACCCGGGAGACCAGGAGCUGAGUCUCUUGAGAGCCAGGACCUUGACCCAGUUGCCGCAUGCUCUCCUCUCUUGUUCCCAGCCCUCACCCAUGCUGCCCUUCCCUCC